GCUUGAUUGCUUGCUUGCUUGUUAAAUUCUACUCCGCAUUCUCAAAUUGAUCUUCUCCCUUUUCUUUCUUUUUUCAGUUUUCCUGAUAGUACACGAAUAAAGGGUAAAAACGCUAGUCAGAUUGACAUCCUCUUCCAAAAUUUGAAGGUUUCUUUCUCCCUGAAUUGACCACUUCUUUGGCGAACCAUCUCUAGGGUUUUUCAUAGAGCAAAAAUGGAUUGGGGGAAUGUAACUACGGAAGAUCUGAUCGAUGCUCUUCGUGAAGUCGACUGGUCAUCACCUCCUCGUCCUCUCACAGAAUUCUUCUCCAGAUUCACUUUCCCUAGAUCUUAUGCCAAAUGGAACAGUCGUCUCAAAUGCAAUCUUUACUAUUACCGGACAAAUUACUUCAUCAUGGUAACCUUCAUUCUUGGGUUGGGAUUUCUCAGAAGGCCGGUUGCUAUUGUUGCUGCAUUCUUAACGGCCAUAAGCAUUGCUUUCCUGAAUGAUAGUUUUGCAGUUACUUUUAAUGAGAAGGUAACCAGAACUGUGAGGCAGUUUUCUCCACAUUUAGCUGCAAAGAUGAGAGCCCCUAUAACGCCUGUUAUUCGUGGGCGUCCAUCUGCUAAAAGAUCGAUUCAUAUAUGCGGACGCCCUCGUUGGAUGUUUGUAUUGAUAUUUUCAAUAGCCAGUUGUCUCUUGUGGUUCACAUCUUGUAAUCUCCUGACUGUCCUAUGGGCAUUUGUCAUUGGCCUUCUUGCCACUGUUUUGCAUGCAAGCUUUAGAACGCCUAACCUGAAAGCACGCCUGAACACAUUCCGUGAAGAAUUCCGUGCAGUUUGGCGCAAUUAUAGUGAACUCUAACUGGUUAGUGCAAGCUGUGGAAUUUAUGGGAUGAGCCUGGUAGUCGUUAAAUCUGGAAUUAAACAGCCCAAAUAUCUGCCACGUGACAGAUAAGAUGGAAACCAAAUUCUGUGGACAGGGCUGAACUGCUGCUGCUGCUGCUGCUUGUAUUCUUACAAAGAAGCUGCUGUAUCGGGAUCCCCUCUAGUAAGUGAAGGCUGCAUGUUUGUACAGAUCAUCGGGUUGUAAAUCUCUUACAGAUCUAAUUUCUGUAAAACCAGUUGUUUGCUAUGUCUAUGAACAAACACUUCAGGAUUCCUGCGCUAACUUAUGAGUUCUUGGGACUGGUGAGGACGCCUAUUUUUUCUGUUUACUAGUUCCUAUCAUUUUGUCUUUGUAAUGGUGAUUGAUCUUUAUCUUUUAUUUAUGAACCAAUUUUUCCUGUUUA